rnacentral:lncRNA from 1 species
CAGCUCAAAAACUAGCUACCAUAGAAAAUGGAAAAGCAGAGUGAAAAAUGUGAGUGUGGGGCUGACAAGUUAAGAGACAAGAGUCAAGUCUUCACUCAAAUGCAAGUGAAUGUAACAUUAUUUUUUUUUUUUAAAACGAACCGACUUAUUCGGUGGUAGUAGUACUAGUGACAUGGACGCUAACAUUGAAGUGCUAGACCGGCAAGAGGAAGAUGCCACAACCCGGUUUGCGGGUGAAAGAGUAGACGGAGAGGACAGCGAAGCCAAAGAUGGGCACAUAUCUACCGCUUCGGCUGCACUAAAUGUGUUACAAAUACAUGUUAUAUCCGAAAUGGCAAAUACAAUUGGUCAGCUACUGCUGUGUAAAUGUACCAGAAAGAAUUGAGGUAAAGACGUUCAGUAACUGGGUGUUUCAAACCGGAUAGCGGAAAAACUCAAAAUUUGACGCCUGGCAAAGCUCUUAAUGCCUAGAUUUCGCCGACAUUGGUUGUAAAUAGUGUACAUAUUGUAAAACCAAUCAAGUCCUUUCCCUCUCAAAUUCAUAUUUUGUGCGGGAGAAUAUGGUAACAGUGAUUUGCUAACUAUGAUCCUCAUCGCCACCGGUUCCUACCACUUCGCCUCUUUCUAGACAAUGCAUUGAAACUCAUCAUGCCAACAGUCCGGUGUGAAUGGCGAGUAAAGCCACACACAAAAAAACGUGUUUUGUUGUCAUUCAUUCACUUGAUAUGAAAUAGUGGGACUGCUGCUGUGUUUUUAGUUUUUCAAAAUUGGGCCUUUAGUUAACUUACAUUAUUUUAUUCAUAUCCAGGUUGAUGAUAGGUCCGUUUCAGUGAAAGAGGGAGGAGCCAGGGAAGGCUAGACCAACUUUUGAUUAUUUCAAGAGACCAAAGUCAGAUGACCUAAACAUUGUUUCCACCCUAUGCAGGAAUCAAAAACUUCCAUGGAUGGAUGUGUGGGAGAAGAGCCAGGACACGCGACGCAGACGCCUAUCUCCAAUCGGAGAAACACGCUGGUGGACUAAGGAUGGUGCUUUGAUGAAGGUCUUUGGAAAACCAGACCAGGGUCUCUAUGUUGAAGUACUCCUCACACUAUCAGCCAUACAAGGAUAGGCCAACAUGAAGACAACUGUUUGGGUGAAGGAAAGAGGAUUUACUGACGCUCUUCUCCGGUAUGAGACGACACUGACGGCUCAAAUAUUUCUUUGGAUAUUUGAGAACACGUCACCGCUGUCCAAAUACCUGCAGACAAGUGGGAUGGACAUCCGGUCUGCCCAUCAAAUGGUUGUGGCUACACAGGAAACCCUGAAAGGCAUGUCAAGUGACUUUGACACCAUUAAGGCAGCUACAGACACAUUUGUUCAGUUUGCAAAUAAGAAGAUCAAAGAACAGAAUGAGGACACAAAGCUGGAGGAGGUGGAAGCCACUCGGCCACAGAAAAGGGCAAGAAAGAAGAAAAUCGUGUCUAGAGAGAUGGCUCAAGAAGAAGCUUUGACAGAGGCAGAGAGUGCCUAUAAAGUUCAGGUCCACAAUAAAAUUAUGGAUAAAGUCACAGAUAGUAUCCACAGGUGAUUUCUGUCUCAUGACACCCUUCUGGACCC